GGGUUGUGAGGUUAAGCGACUAAGCGUACACGGUGGAUGCCUUGGCAGUCAGAGGCGAUGAAGGACGUGCUAAUCUGCGAUAAGCGUCGGUAAGGUGAUAUGAACCGUUGUAACCGGCGAUUUCCGAAUGGGGAAACCCAGUGUGAUUCGUCACACUAUCAUUAACUGAAUCCAUAGGUUAAUGAGGCGAACCGGGGGAACUGAAACAUCUAAGUACCCCGAGGAAAAGAAAUCAACCGAGAUUCCCCCAGUAGCGGCGAGCGAACGGGGAGCAGCCCAGAGCCUGAAUCAGUGUGUGUGUUAGUGGAAGCGUCUGGAAAGGCGCGCGAUACAGGGUGACAGCCCCGUACACAAAAAUGCACAUAUUGUGAGCUCGAUGAGUAGGGCGGGACACGUGGUAUCCUGUCUGAAUAUGGGGGG
rnacentral:rRNA from 1 species